UACUGUACCUUAGUUGCUUCGGCGGGCCCGCCAUUCAUGGCCGCCGGGGGCUCUCAGCCCCGGGCCCGCGCCCGCCGGAGACACCACGAACUCUGUCUGAUCUAGUGAAGUCUGAGUUGAUUGUAUCGCAAUCAGUUAAAACUUUCAACAAUGGAUCUCUUGGUUCCGGCAUCGAUGAAGAACGCAGCGAAAUGCGAUAACUAGUGUGAAUUGCAGAAUUCCGUGAAUCAUCGAGUCUUUGAACGCACAUUGCGCCCCCUGGUAUUCCGGGGGGCAUGCCUGUCCGAGCGUCAUUGCUGCCCAUCAAGCACGGCUUGUGUGUUGGGUCGUCGUCCCCUCUCCGGGGGGGACGAGCCACAAAGGCAGCGGCGGCACCGCGUCCGAUCCUCGAGCGUAUGGGGCUUUGUCACCCGCUCUGUAGGCCCGGCCGGCGCUUGCCGAACGCAAAUCAAUCUUUUUCCAGGUUGACCUCGGAUCAGGUAGGGAUACCCGCUGAACUUAAGCAUAUCAUAGCCGAAGGAACUUACCGAGUGUAGGGUUCCUAGCGAGCCCACCC
rnacentral:rRNA from 1 species